UCUGAAGUUCAUCUGGGAAGUGUUCCUCAUUUGCCUUCAUUUUUUCGUAUAAUUGAUCUGCUAAUUAGGUCCUUCUUUUGCGAGAUAUGGGAAACUCGCUUAAAGACCAUCCGGCAAUGGAAGUUGGAUUAGGGCAGACGCGAGAUUUGAGGCUUUGGAAACACAGAGGCCGCUUGUUUGCUUUGCCCUGCUUCAUUGGGUCGGAGCUUGAAGCUUAGCCGGUCACUGGAGGACUCUGGAUUGGACAUUUACUAAGGAGAUACAUCAGAAAGAGUGCAAGUUCGAUAGGCCUGCAUCACUGCGGUAUGCCAAAUCAUAUCAAGCCACUAACUCUUUUACAUGGACAUGAAGUGAAAAUGAACUCCAGUGAAGAUCUGAAGCAGAGCUACGGAAACAAUGGUUGGGGUGGCCAACCAUGGUUUUCUUGACCUCUCACUGCGAUUGCUCUUUAUUUGACCACUUGAUCCUGCGGUACUGUCAGUUGAAUUCCCCUCAGCUGCAACAAAAAACAUCAGGAAGACGUGGGGAGAAUUUCUAUGGAGGACAACUUCAUUUAGUUCUUGCUGCUUAAAACUAGAUGAGUGUGAGGGUUGUUACCAUCGGGGAGUUUCGUGCUGUUUCUCUUCUCAAGGCUUUUCUCAAAUCUGUCAAACACCUCAGCGUCUGUAGAGUUCGGAGCAAGGUGCAGAAGAUCUGAAUUUUUGCACAUGUUUAGAAAUAACGGACUAAAGAGGCAAAAAUCGGACAAAUUUUACUACAAAAACUGGGCAUGCCGAGUUUGUUCCCGAGACUGUUAGGAUAAACUGAUGCAACAUCUUUCAGAAGCCACCUCUGGCUUAUUUCUGCUGAAGUUGCUUAAACAUCCAAUGCAUACUUCAUGGUGAAUGGCAAGAGGUGGGAAGGCUGAGCGCAAGGGUGGUAUUGAUCUUGAGCCCAAGACUGGGAUCAUUCCUGUCCCUGACAAGAAUGCAAAGGCAUUUCAAGCUCUUUUGGAGGACCUGUUUCAGCCCGGAGCAA